rnacentral:rRNA from 1 species
AUGGAGAAGUGGUAUGAAUUGGUAGAAAUAGCUAAGAGCAUUACUUUCUCUGGUGAUUCAGAUGCCUUGAUCUGGCAAUUGGAGAAUAAUGGUGUUUAUUCUACUAGCUCUCUCUAUUCAGUUAUUAAUUUCUGGGGUGUGCAACCAGUUCACAUUCCUGCAGUUUGGAAGCUGUCUGUCCCUCCUAGGAUUCAUUUUUUUCUCUGGCUGCUAGGACAUAAUAAAUUAAUGACUAAAAACAAUUUGCUCAAAAGACAUAUAGACAAAGGUAGAGAAUGUCUCUUUUGUGGCUGUGAUGAAAACACCACCCAUUUAUUCUUUGAUUGUGUGGUUUCCUCUGCUAUCUGGGAGGUUGUGCAAAGUUUCUUAAAAAAGCCAGUGGGCGCCAAUUAUGCUAGAAUGUGGGUUUCUAAAUUCUUCUAA